GCAGGUGUCUGUAUAUCUAGGCUGGGAGGCAGGGGAGAAAAAUGGCACUAGCCAGCUCCUUUCUUCUUCGAGAAGUGUCAUAAUAUCCCUGACCCUCCUGUACAAGUUCUGAAAUUAAGGGUGGCCUUGGAAGGCUGGAAGUCUUUCAGAAACCUGAGUUGAGUAUGCAUGAUCUCAUUUAUUCUGAUGGCAAUCCUAUAAUGGAGCCUCCCUAGCUUCUCGGCCUUUCAUCUGCUGAACACCAUCAGCCGUGGAAUAGCAUCACUGUGUCUCUCAUUGCCAGGUGGUGGAUGUCAACCUAUUGAAAUCUCCUUUGAAUGUUUGCAGGAAGUUGGUUUUUAACCAGGGGAGGUCUCAAGCAAGCCUAACAGGACCAGAAAACUAGAAGCAGGAAAUCUUGUGGAAUCCCCCAGCAAACCGGCUGUCACCUACUCCUCUUCCCCCU